AUGGGUGAGAAAAAACUUAUGUUUAAUACAUUUMGAAUUCAACCUGUAACACAACAAAAUGUGGAAUAAGUCAAAGUCAAUACCAUUACAGAGUCACAGAGCAUUGCUGAGAUAGCUGAGUGUGAUGUUUACCUAUAGUGCAGGGCUACACAGGUAUUUAGAGUUUCAAAUGUUACAAGGAAAUGGAGCUGGGAAAUCUGUUAAGUCGCUUAAUCAUUGAUUAACCUUCCUGAACAUUCUAAAUCCCCCAAUUGUUUUUGCCCAGUGAAUGCUUAAAUGGACAUGGACACUAGCAAACUACACUGGGGACAUCAAGAAUAUAAUCUUGGACAGUAUCAGCUCAAGCACAGAAUCCUCUCCAGACACACUCCUCUGGUGCUGCCCAUGUAUAUGAAGGAGGUGCGUAUUGCACUGGCAGAGGGGUCGAUGAGCUGGGCCUCAGGAACAUUUUAUCUUUCAAGAUAUCACCGUUUUCAAUUAGAGUUGAUUGAAAAGGGUCACGAAUAAAUGGAGGGGAAGCCAAUCUACAUGUACAUAAGCCUGAAG